UUCCAGACUCCUACGGGAGGCAGCAGUGAGGAAUAUUGGUCAAUGGUCGGGAGACUGAACCAGCCAAGCCGCGUGAGGGAGGAAGGUACAGAGUAUCGUAAACCUCUUUUGUCAGGGAACAAAGACUGGGACGCGUCCCCGGAUGAGUGUACCUGAAGAAAAAGCAUCGGCUAACUCCGUGCCAGCAGCCGCGGUAAUACGGAGGAUGCGAGCGUUAUCCGGAUUUAUUGGGUUUAAAGGGUGCGCAGGCGGCCUGUUAGGUCCGGGGUAAAAGCCGGGGGCCCAACCCCGGCGAGCCGUUGAAACUGGCGGGCUGGAGUUGGAGAGAAGUACGCGGAAUGCGCGGUGUAGCGGUGAAAUGCUUAGAUAUCGCGCAGAACCCCGAUUGCGAAGGCAGCGUACCGGCUCCACACUGACGCUGAGGCACGAAAGCGUGGGUAUCGAACAGGAUUAGAUACCCUAGUAA
rnacentral:rRNA from 1 species